UUGAUAAUUUCAGGAGAGACCAUAUUUGAUUAUGGAACCGAAGGGGAACAGGCGUAAAAGCUCUCAGGUAAAAGGACUGAAAUUUGACG
rnacentral:ncRNA from 2 species